rnacentral:rRNA from 1 species
UACGUAGGGUGCAAGCGUUGUCCGGAAUUAUUGGGCGUAAAGAGCUCGUAGGCGGUUCGUCACGUCGGCUGUGAAAUCCCGAGGCUCAACCUCGGGUCUGCAGUCGAUACGGGCGGACUGGAGUACUGCAGGGGAGACUGGAAUUCCUGGUGUAGCGGUGAAAUGCGCAGAUAUCAGGAGGAACACCGGUGGCGAAGGCGGGUCUCUGGGCCGAAAUUGACGCUGAGGAGCGAAAGCGUGGGGAGCAAACAGG